rnacentral:tRNA from 1 species
GCCCAGGUGACUUAGUGGUAAAGUAUCUGCCUACCAAGCAGGAGAUGCAGGUUUGAUCCCUGAGUUGGGAA